rnacentral:tRNA from 1 species
UCCCUCAUAGCUCAGCCAGUUAAGAACCUGCUUGCAAUGCAGGAGACCCAGGUUCGAUUCCUGGGUUGGGAA